rnacentral:rRNA from 1 species
GACGAACGCUGGCGGCGUGCUUAACACAUGCAAGUCGAACGGACAGGCCCUGCUUUUGUGGGGUGCUCGAGUGGCGAACGGGUGAGUAACACGUGAGUAACCUGCCCUUGACUUUGGGAUAACUUCAGGAAACUGGGGCGAAUACCGGAUAGGAGCUCCUGCUGCAUGGUGGGGGUUGGAAAGUUUCGGCGGUUGGGGCUGUACUCGCGGCUUAUCCGCUUGUUGGUGGGGUAGUGGCUUACCAAGGCUUUGACGGGUAGCCGGCCUGAGAGGGUGACCGGCCACAUGGGGACUGAGAGACGGCCCAGACGCCUACGGUAGGCAGAAGUGGGGAAUAUUGCACAAUGGGCGGAAGCGUGAGGCAGCAACGCCGCGUGCGGGAUGACGGCCUUCUGGUUGUAAACCGCUUUCGCCUGUGCCGAAGCGUGAGUGACGGUAACGGGUAAAGAAGCACCGGCUAGCUACGUG